UACUACAAUAAUAGAUAAAUACCACACUAAGGAGGUUCACAAAGAUCACAGUUUUCAGUGAAAGCGUGAUAAAAAAUUGUAUGCUAACUUUUUUAUCUCAGUUUAAAUCAAAAGCUGAGAUAAAAAGUGGUAUUUGGCCACAGAAAAGAGCAAGAUAAUAGAUCUCACUCUUGCGAUGAGAUAAAAGAAAAAAGACCUCAUUCUUACAGUGUGAUAGAAGAACUUAGCGUGGAAUAGCCGCGGAAAAGAGAGAGACAAAGACCUCGCUCGUGCUGUGAGAUAUAAAAAAAAAAAGACCUCACUCUUGCAGCGUGAUAAAAAACUUUGGUGCGAAGAAAGGGCGAGAUAAAAGAUCUCGCUCUUGUGGCGUGAUAAAAGACUAUGGAAAAACUCAGGAACUUCUGAAUUUUUUUGGCUCAUUUAGGCGCGCUUGGAAAAGGAAAAGAAAUUGAAAGGGUGCUCAAAACGACGUCGUUUCACGUUAGCCCAAAAUAAGCCCUAGUUCCUCUCCACUCACCCGUUGAAGCUCUCCAGUACACGUUGAAGCUUCAUCCUCCCACGCUGCCGCCGCCUCUUUGCCCCCAUCCUCACACGCCGCUGCCGCCGCCUGUUCUCUCUCCACCACCACCGUGAAGGAAGAAACGGAAAUUGGGGCUUUCUGGAAAGAGUGAAACGAUUUCAAGAAGUGAAGGAGAAGAACCAGACCUCGUUGGAUGCUUGUGCUUGGUUUCACACAAUUGCAAUUCGACGCCAUUUUUUAAGGUUCUGCCUUUAGCUUGUGAUCGAUUUUCCCCUUUCUUAAUUCUGUUUUUAUCAGAUUUGGUUGAAAUAAGAUUGUGGAAGAACAGUUAUGACGAAAGGUCUUUCAUGACUGACCGAAUUUUUUGGGCAAUUCAUGGAGAUUCUUGUUUGCGAUUCAAUUUGCUACUUUCAUCUAAUUUUCCAAUUUGGGUAAUUUAGGGCAUGACCCUUCUUGUGUUGAAUCAUUUCUGCCUUCAUUUUUUUAAGGAAAGUUUGAAAUUGAUUGAAGGAUUUACCAAAAGACAUAUCCUUGUUAAGAGAAAUCUAACUGGUAUUUGUUUGUUAUUUUAAGGACGAGUACUAGUGUUUGAAGAAUAUACUGCCUAAUAAUACUAAUCGAGCACAUAGAUUUUUUGUCUUUGUUAUCGUGGAGGGGGCUGUAAUGGGGAAGAAAAGGAAAAAUGGUUGGUUUUGCUGCCUUUUGGUUUGAUACUAAUCAAGCACGUAGAUUUUAAGGGGAAUGCAACUGGAGGGCUUUUGAUGGGGUGGAAGAGCUAGUGUCCUUAAAAUUGCAUAGUCGAAUUUUGUCUUGUUCAUGUAGUAUGUUCUUGGGUGUUGACGUGGUGUUCAUCUGUCCUUGAACCAAUUGUCAGACUUCUUUAAGAGUCUUUAGAGUAAAGAACAAAUAUGUGCUAGUAAGGGCAUUAAAAAAUGUCCUAGUUUAUGUUAUUGAAGUUUGAUUUCCUUUGAACGAGUUUUGGUUUAAUUUGUUUUGUAAUCCAUGUGCAUGAGAAAUAGAAAACGCAUUUCCGUCCUUUUCUUUGGUGUUUUUUUGGUUCUCUUUUAGUUUGUUUUUUGGCCAUCCUUUGUUUGACAAUCCAUGUGCGUGAGAAGAGUACUCUCAUCUCAUCCACAUUCCCCAACAUCAAACCGUCAUUUCUAUUGCUCACACCCUUUACUUGCCAAAAGUUCAUACAAUAUGCUUGUAUGAACUCUUCAGGUUCCUCCCUCUCUUUCUCAAACAAGUACAUAGUUUGUUUGUUUUUUAGCAUGUGUAUUGAUUGUUUCUUUUGGCA